UACAGAGGGUGCGAGCGUUGUUCGGAAUUACUGGGCGUAAAGCGCGCGCAGGCGGUCGCUUAAGUCUGUCGGUUAAAUGCCGGGGCUCAACCCCGAGCGUGCCGAGGAUACUGGGCGACUGGAGACAGGUAGAGGCAAGCGGAAUUCCGGGUGUAGCGGUGGAAUGCGUAGAGAUCCGGAAGAACACCGGAGGCGAAGGCGGCUUGCUGGGCCUGGUCUGACGCUGAGGCGCGAAAGCGUGGGGAGCGAACGGG
rnacentral:rRNA from 1 species